AUACGUCGGGGGCGAGCGUUGUCCGGAAUGACUGGGCGUAACGGGCGUGUAGGCGGCGAUGUAAGUCUGGAGUGAAAGUCCCGCAUUCAAUGUGGGAAUUGUAUUGGAUACUGCAGUGCUAGAGUGCGGAAGAGGUAAGUGGAAUUCUCAGGGUAGCGGUGAAAUGCGUAGAGAUUGGGAGGAACACCAGUGGCGAAGGCGACUUACUGGGCCGUAACUGACGCUGAGGCGCGAAAGCGUGGGGAGCGAACAGGAUUAGAUACCCUGGUAGUCCACGCGGUAAACGAUGAAUGCUAGGUGUUGCGGGUAUCGACCCCUUUUGUGCCGGAGUCAACACAAUAAGCAUUCCGCCUGGGGAGGACGGCCGCAAGGUUGAAACUCAAAGGAAUUGACGGGG
rnacentral:rRNA from 1 species